rnacentral:rRNA from 1 species
AUUGAACGCUGGCGGCAGGCCUAACACAUGCAAGUCGAGCGGUAGAGAGGUGCUUGCAUCUCUUGAGAGCGGCGGACGGGUGAGUAAUGCCUAGGAAUCUGCCUGGUGGUGGGGGAUAACGUUCGGAAACGGACGCUAAUACCGCAUACGUCCUACGGGAGAAAGCGGGGGAUCUUCGGACCUCGCGCCAUUAGAUGAGCCUAGGUCGGAUUAGCUAGUUGGUGAGGUAAUGGCUCACCAAGGCGACGAUCCGUAACUGGUCUGAGAGGAUGAUCAGUCACACUGGAACUGAGACACGGCCCAGACUCCUACGGGAGGCAGCAGUGGGGAAUAUUGGACAAUGGGCGAAAGCCUGAUCCAGCAAUGCCGCGUGAGUGAUGAAGGCCUUAGGGUUGUAAAGCUCUUUACCCGGGAUGAUAAUGACAGUACCGGGAGAAUAAGACUCCGGCUAACUCCGUGCCAGCAGCCGCGGUAAAGUGACU